rnacentral:rRNA from 1 species
UGAUCCUGCCGGAGGCUACUGCUAUCGGGGUUCGAUUAAGCCAUGCGAGUCAAAUGUUCUUUGUGAACAUAGCGAACUGCUCAGUAACACGUGGAUAACCUACCCUUAGGACCGGAAUAACCCCGGGAAACUGGGGAUAAUACCGGAUAAGCCAUAGACGCUGGAAUGCCCUAUGGUUCAAAGCUCCGGCGCCUAAGGAUGGAUCUGCGGUCUAUCAGGUUGUAGUGGGUGUAACGUACCUACUAGCCGACGACGGAUACGGGUUGUGAGAGCAAGAGCCCGGAGAUGGAUUCUGAGACACGAAUCCAGGCCCUACGGGGUGCAGCAGGCGCGAACACUUUACAAUGCGGGAAACCGCGAUAAGGGAACCCCGAGUGCCAGCAUCAAAUGUUGGCUGUCCAGAUGGUUAAAAAUCAUUUGUUAGCAAGGGCCGGGCAAGACCGGUGCCAGCCGCCGCGGUAACACCGGCGGCCCGAGUGGUAGCCGUUUUUAUUGGGUCUAAAGGGUCCGUAGCCGGCCUGAUAAGUCCUUUGGGAAAUCUGACAGCUUAACUGUCAGGCUUCUAAGGGAUACUGUCAGGCUUGGGACCGGAAGAGGUAAGGGGCACUCCAGGGGUAGGAGUGAAAUCUUGUAAUCCCUGGGGGACCAUCUGUGGCGAAGGCGCCUUACCAGAACGGGUCCGACGGUGAGGGACGAAAGCUAGGGGAGCAAACCGGAUUAGAUACCCGGGUAGUCCUAGCUGUAAACGAUGCUCGCUAGGUGUCAGACACGGUGCGACCGUGUUUGGUGCCGCAGGGAAGCCGUUAAGCGAGCCACCUGGGAAGUACGGUCGCAAGGCUGAAACUUAAAGGAAUUGGCGGG